rnacentral:lncRNA from 1 species
CACACACACAAAAAUCAAAUUUAGGAAAAAAUAUGAAAAAAGUGUUUGUGAAACAACCGUUGUACUCUAAAAGCUUAAGCUGUUAGAGAACGGUGUUUAAAUAUUUUUAUAUUUAACACUCUCCCUCAUGUCUAGGCUCGAGACUUUUUAAUCGGCCCAUGACGUGAGCUUGAAUUAAAUGGGAGGAAAUUAUUAUGCUAGGAGCCUGGCGUGACUCGAACUCAGGCCCUCCUGCUCUGAUACCAUGUGAAACAACCGUUGUACUCUAAAAGCUUAAGCUGUUAGAUUCUAAAUGAUUUUUUUUUUAAAAAUUUUGCUGUUCAUUAGAUUCUUAUUGAUUUUUACGACAUAUAGAAUAAUCAUCAUAUGUGACACGUCUCGCUUCGCAGGCGGGUCACCAAUGCUAUAACUAUUUUAGACCUUGCAUGUAUGCUUAACCCUUUUAACCUAUUGAGUAUAAUUAUCGCCCAACAUGUUAUAGCCAGAUUAAAAAAUUUAGUUGUAUUAUAUUUUAUAUAUAGGACUAUUUCAAAUAAUAUCACAUAAUAAAAGUCCUUUUAU